UGGGGAAUAUUGCACAAUGGGGGAAACCCUGAUGCAGCGACGCCGCGUGAACGAAGAAGGUAUUCGUAUCGUAAAGUUCUGUCCUAUGGGAAGAUAAUGACAGUACCAUAGAAGAAAGCUCCGGCUAAAUACGUGCCAGCAGCCGCGGUAAUACGUAUGGAGCGAGCGUUGUCCGGAAUUAUUGGGCGUAAAGGGUACGCAGGCGGUUUAAUAAGUCGAAUGUUAAAGAUCGGGGCUCAACCCCGCAAAGCAUUGGAAACUGAUAAACUUGAGUAGUGGAGAGGAAAGUGGAAUUCCUAGUGUAGUGGCGAAAUACGUAGAUAUUAGGAGGAAUACCAGUAGCGAAGGCGACUUUCUGGACACAAACUGACGCUGAGGUACGAAAGCGUGGGGAGCAAACAGG
rnacentral:rRNA from 1 species